rnacentral:tRNA from 1 species
GCCCGGGUGGCGGAAUCGGUAGACGCAGGGGGCUUAAACCCCCCGGCUCCUCUGGGAGCAUGUGGGUUCAAGUCCCACCCCGGGCA